GUACACGCUGUGACUAGCAUAUCAAUAAGCGGAGGAAAAGAAACUAACAAGGAUUCCCUCAGUAACGGCGAGUGAAGCGGGAAGAGCUCAAAUUUGAAAUCUUGAAAGGUCACCUUUCACGAAUUGUAGUUUAAAGAAGUGUUUUCUGUUACGAUCGUAAUAUAAGUUCUUUGGAAUAGGACAUCACAGAGGGUGAGAAUCCCGUCUAUGAUUGCGAUUUGUAGCUUUGUGAUACACUUUCAAAGAGUCGGGUUGUUUGGGAAUGCAGCCCAAAACGGGAGGUAAAUUUCUUCUAAGGCUAAAUAUUGGCGAGAGACCGAUAGCGAACAAGUACCGUGAGGGAAAGGUGAAAAGAACUUUGAAAAGAGAGUUAAAUAGUACGUGAAAUUGUCAAAAGGGAAGCGUUUAACACCAGUGUUGUUUUCUGAAAAUCAACCUCUGUUAGCUUUAUGCAUGUUUGUUUAGACCUAAUCAGCUAUCUUGCAUGUUCUAUUGUUUGCAGUGGUGCACUUUUCAGUUUACAGGUCAACAUCAGUUUUUUUUACCGUAAAAAAGUUAAAGAAAGGUAGCUCAUGGCUCCGGUCGUGAGUGUUAUAGUCUUUUUCCUAUGCGGUAGGAGAGACUGAGGUCUGCAGUGUAGGCUAUUUGGCUAGAUACUCAGGUGCUAUGUGAUACCAUUUCAUAAACAACUUGUUGAUUAUGUUUUGUCUAUUGCAUACUCGCUUGUACUAUCAUACCUACGCUUAGGAUGUUGAGUAGCGACAUACGCAC
rnacentral:rRNA from 1 species